rnacentral:rRNA from 1 species
GAUGAACGCUAGCGAUAGGCCUAACACAUGCAAGUCGAGGGGCAGCAUAGAGUAGCAAUACUUUGAUGGCGACCGGCGCACGGGUGAGUAACACGUAUGCAACCUACCCACAUCAGGGGAAUAACCCGGAGAAAUUCGGACUAAUACCGCAUAAUACAGGGAUGCCGCAUGGCAAUAUUUGUUAAAGAUUUAUCGGAUGUAGAUGGGCAUGCGUUCCAUUAGCUAGUUGGUAAGGUAACGGCUUACCAAGGCAACGAUGGAUAGGGGAACUGAGAGGUUUGUCCCCCACACUGGAACUGAGACACGGACCAGACUCCUACGGGAGGCAGCAGUGAAGAAUAUUGGUCAAUGGACGAGAGUCUGAACCAGCCAAAUCGCGUGAAGGAAGACUGCCCUACGGGUUGUAAACUUCUUUUGUACAGGAAUAAAAGACAUUACGUGUAAUGUAUUGCAUGUACUGUACGAAUAAGCAUCGGCUAACUCCGUGCCAGCCGCCGCCGUAA